UUAAAACACUCAAAUUAAGGUGAUUAUAAGGGGAUCAAUACAGGCUGUUUAUAAAGAUACAAAUGAAGGUGAUUAUAAGGUGAUCAAUACAGGCUGUUUAUAAAGAUACAAAUGAAGGUGAUUAUAAGGUGAUCAAUACAGGCUGUUUAUAAAGAUACAAAUGAAGGUGAUUAUAAGGUGAUCAAUACAGGCUGUUUAUAAAGAUACAAAUGAAGGUGAUUAUAAGGUGAUCAAUAUAGGCUGUUUAUAAAGAUACAAAUGAAGGUGAUUAUAAGGUGAUCAAUAUAGGCUGUUUAUAAAGAUACAAAUGAAGGUGAUUAUAAGGUGAUCAAUAUAGGCUGUUUAUAAAGAUACAAAUGAAGGUGAUUAUAAGGUGAUCAAUACAGGCUGUUUAUAAAGAUACAAAUGAAGGUGAUUAUAAGGUGAUCAAUAUAGGCUGUUUAUAAAGAUACAAAUGAAGGUGAUUAUAAGGUGAUCAAUAUAGGCUGUUUAUAAAGAUACAAAUGAAGGUGAUUAUAAGGUGAUCAAUAUAGGCUGUUUAUAAAGAUACAAAUGAAGGUGAUUAUAAGGUGAUCAAUACAGGCUGUUUAUAAAGAUACAAAUGAAGGUGAUUAUAAGGUGAUCAAUACAGGCUGUUUAUAAAGAUACAAAUGAAGGUGAUUAUAAGGUGAUCAAUAUAGGCUGUUUAUAAAGAUACAAAUGAAGGUGAUUAUAAGGUGAUCAAUACAGGCUGUUUAUAAAGAUACAAAUGAAGGUGAUUAUAAGGUGAUCAAUAUAGGCUGUUUAUAAAGAUACAAAUGAAGGUGAUUAUAAGGUGAUCAAUAUAGGCUGUUUAUAAAGAUACAAAUGAAGGUGAUUAUAAGGUGAUCAAUAUAGGCUGUUUAUAAAGAUACAAAUGAAGGUGAUUAUAAGGUGAUCAAUAUAGGCUGUUUAUAAAGAUACAAAUGAAGGUGAUUAUAAGGUGAUCAAUAUAGGCUGUUUAUAAAGAUACAAAUGAAGGUGAUUAUAAGGUGAUCAAUAUAGGCUGUUUAUAAAGAUACAAAUGAAGGUGAUUAUAAGGUGAUCAAUAUAGGCUGUUUAUAAAGAUACAAAUUAAGCAGCUCUUUUCAAAAAAUAUUUCCAAGAAUAUAGACAACUAUAACUCACUGGGAACAUAAAUCGACGUGUUCUUAUCAAAAAUAUUUUAUUAUGAAUAUUGUGACAACAGGGUAUUUUAUGGCUGGCAAAUACCAACUGUGAUCGCCCAAAUUGUAGAAGCACUAUGCA